CGAGAGUGUCACCACUCCCAACCCAUUGUUUACCUACCCGUCCACCGUGCUUCGGCAGGCAGCCCUGUGGGACAGAGCCUCGCCCCCCUCGCGGGGGGUGCCUGCCGCUGGCCAACCAAUACUCUAGCUGUUUUUGUACAAUCUGAGUCUUCCACAAAUGAACA
rnacentral:misc_RNA from 1 species